rnacentral:rRNA from 1 species
UGGUGGAGCGAUUUGUCUGGUUAAUUCCGUUAACGAACGAGACCUCAGCCUACUAAUUAGUUUAGGUCAAUGAUUUCAUUGAUCGAACUUCUUAGAGGGACUAUCGGUUUUCAGCCGAGGGAAGUUUGAGGCCAUAACA